UACGAAGGGGGCGAGCGUUGUUCGGAAUUACUGGGCGUAAAGGCGCGUAGGCGGCCGAUCAAGUCAGAUGUGAAAGUCCUGGGCUUAACCUGGGGACUGCAUUUGAUACUGAUUGGCUUGAAUUCGGGAGAGGAUAGCGGAAUUCCCAGUGUAGAGGUGAAAUUCGUAGAUAUUGGGAAGAACACCGGUGGCGAAGGCGGCUAUCUGGACCGACAUUGACGCUGAGGCGCGAAAGCGUGGGGAGCAAACAGG
rnacentral:rRNA from 1 species